UUCUUUCUUUAUUUUUUUAUUGAAAGCUUCAUCAAAGAAAACAGAAGUUUAAACCUAACAUCCACUGAUCUACAGAAAGCCCCAGGAGUGGGAAAAUGGCAGCUAUUUAGGAUUGUGGUACAAAUGGAAAACAUCAAAAAAAAAAAAAAAUCAUAGCAGUACAGAUCUUUCAAAGACAUUCUGAGACCUCAGCACACAGAUGCCCAUAUAAAUAAGAUUCAUAAUUUAGUGUACCACAGAGGUUCUGUGUUCUACAUUUUGGCUACAGUGAGGUCUGUAAGGGCUUUAAAGAACCUCUGUCCCAUUUGUGUGAUGCAUGUUUUCUUGAUAGGAAGUUCAUCUGCUUUCGAAGUUGCUUUGAUUUUUCUCACAGACAGAAUCUGUUCAUUCUCCUUUAAAAAGGAAACAAUUAAAAAUUCCUAUAUGAAUUCUGUAUGCUUCCUAGCUUUACAUAAAAUUGUUUUGCCCCAUAAGAUAGAAUAAUUUUCUUCCACUCUGACAUACAGCAUACUUAAUAAUGCUUCAGUUAGAUACAGAUCAUGUUCUCUUCUACAGGCUGUAUUUUUGGGCUUUUAAAAAUAUAACUGACUGUAAAUUUCACCAAAUUCAUAAAGUUAUUAUCCAAGAGAAAGACACUUAAAGGCAUAAAAUUAAUGUUGGCCAGAUACUCUCUUAAGGACAACAGAUCCAGAUCUUGGAAGGUGCUUACACCUUGCAGGCUUUGGCUCUACAAGGAAAAAUGGAUUUGUGAACCUGUCAAAGGCUGACAUUUUUCACUUCAUUUCACAUUUUUAUUAAGGUGAAAGAACUCAGCUGUCACUGUUGGGGAAUUAACAGCUGAAUUGAACAACUGAAAUAAAUACAAUAAUUUCUCUCAUCAUGGAAAGCUAAACCAACACUGAGAUUUUUUUUUUUUUUUUAAACUUUUCUCUCAUAAUUUUCUGUUUGAUUUUAAAAAAGAACAUGUUAAUAAAGGGGAGAAGAAAGGGUCUCUUCUGCCUGCUUUGAGGCACAAAGGUGAAUAAAACUCUGGGAUACAUACAGCACUCUAGCCUAUUUGGGUGAUGGAAGCAAUAUAGAAAAAGUUGGUGCUCUUUCUGAGGGAAAAAUAACUCUCCUUACACUGCAUCUUUGCUGCUUGCUGAGAUUCUAGAAAUCUGCUCCACUGAGGGAGAGGAGAAGUCUGCUGCUCACUCAGCCCUCCUUCUGAGAAAGUGUGUGUGUAUGAUUGCGUGUAUGUGUAUCAGAAAAGAAAGGUAUCUUUGUUACUAGAGUCAAUUGUCAUUAAACAGAAAAGACUAAAACACCAAAUGUCAGCAUCUUUGUUGUUUUCUGUUUUGCAUUUCCAUCACACCAUGACCGUUUCUUAGUUCAUGUGGGCUACCAAGAACGACCAGGAAAAUUCCUUACCCUCGGGCACUUCUUUUCUAUCUGGACCAAUUUCAUGUUAAAUAAAGUUUUGAAAGGAAAUGUUGACCAUGUGUGUAUCAAACAUUACUAUCUUCAACUACCACAUUUGGUCUCAUCACUACAAAUGGAUUGAUUCAUUACUUUAAGCACAUUAUCGCUUUUUAGCAUGACUCUUGCUAUAGGUGGAGUUCAGCCAGUAUGCCUAAACCUGUUUUGCUCAUGUCAACCUCAGCAUUAAAAUGAAGUGGCAUGAGGAGCACCAUCAAGCUUAAAGUCAUGAAGCAUGGCAGUUUGUUAAACACUUAGUAUCAGUCUUAUCCUUCAGUACCAUAAACAACAUAAUAUAGAUCCAAAUACUAUGACAUAUUAAAAAUAAACUUUAUUACAAUGCAGGCUUCCUCAAAUUUGCUGAGUUUUGGUACACAUACAUACAUAAAUAAACCCCUUCA
rnacentral:lncRNA from 1 species